rnacentral:rRNA from 1 species
GCGCACCAGUCGAGAAACCUCUGCAAUGCGCGCAAGCGCGACAGGGCUACCCCGAGUGCCGCCCGCUGAGGGCGGCUUUUCUCCGGUGUAAUGAGUCGGAGGAAUAAGGGGAGGGCAAGCCUGGUGUCAGCCGCCGCGGUAAUACCAGCUCCCCGAGUGGUGGGGACGGUUAUUGGGCCUAAAGCGUCCGUAGCCGGUUCGGCAAGUCCUCCGUUAAAGCCAACGAUCCAAUCGUUGGAAUGCGGGGGAUACUGCCGGACUAGGGGGCGGAGAGGCCGAC